CAUUUAGGUUCUUGCUACGAUUUUAACUUUGUGGUUAGCAGACAAAUCUGGUCGCCGACUUUUACUUAUUGUUUCUUCAUCUGCAAUGGCUUUGAGUCUUUUGGUUGUUUCAAUAUCAUUCUACUUGAAGGAAUAUAUAUCACCAGAUUCUGAUUUAUAUGCGACAUUGAGCCUCGUAUCGGUGGCUGGAGUUGUGGUGUGUAAAUACAACUUUAUUACACAAAUGAUGGUUUCUAUUGUUUGUUUCCCUAACUUCAUUAUUAUAAACUUUCAAUUUCUUUCAGGUCAUGGUUAUUGCAUUCUCUCUGGGAUUAGGAGCAAUGCCAUGGAUUAUAAUGUCUGAGGUACAAUUUUCUUCAAUAAUAAUAUGCAUGACAACCCUAUAUGAACAAACCUUUGUUGUAAUAUAAUGUGAUAGUUGAUGUGUUGAAUAUAUUUUACAUAAUAGAUUCUUCCGAUUAACAUCAAAGGCCUAGCUGGAAGUUUUGCAACACUUGCCAAUUGGUUCUUUUCCUGGUUGGUUACAUUAACAGCAAAUUUGCUCUUGGAUUGGAGUUCGGGAGGUUU